GGUGUGGUGCCGGAGCGGUUACGGGCUGGCCUGCAAAGCCAUGAAGAGGCGUUCGACUCGCCUCCACACCUCCA
rnacentral:tRNA from 1 species